GUCUCUACAGGGGUGCAGGUGAUACGCCGAUGAUCGAAUGGAGAGGGCGUGUCGUGCCGGCACUUUACUGAAAAGCGAACACACUUUUUAAAGGCGAGUGGGGUGAGCCCUACUUUGGUUCUCCAUCCCUGCCCGUCAAUUUUUGGAGGCCCUCCCAAGGGUCCACAAACAUUCCUAAGUCAAGCUUUCUAAGUCACUCAUUCUCAUUCCAGAACUCCUUGUGGGAAAACCGACCAUGAGCAGUUAAAUUAUUUUAUAUGAGUACCUUUUUAAACGUCGAAAAUAAAUUUGUACGUGUGCUUUUUUCUUUUUCUUUUUGCUCACCCCAUAGGCAAUGCAUUUGGUCUUCUCAUCACCUAAUAAUGUUUUUCUUCUCGUCACCCAAUAAUAUUUUUCUUUUUUAAUAUUUUUUUUUUUUACGGGUAGUGUGUGGUCUCAUCACCUAAUAAUAUUUUUUAAUAUUUUUC
rnacentral:lncRNA from 1 species